AAGAACGUUUUUCUUGACAUUACUUGUUGCUUCAAAGGAUAUGAAUUGACAGAUGUUGAAGAUAUUCUCCAUGCUCGUUAUGGUCAAAACAUGAAAUAUCAUAUUGGAGCAUUGAUUGACAAGUCUCUCAUACAUACCAGUUUGGAUGGUAAGGGGACACCACAUCCCUUGAUAGAGAGAACAUGUAAAGAAAUUGUCCAUGACGAAUCGCCAAGCGAUCCUCGGAGACGUAGUAGAUUAUGGUUCCAAGAAGAUAUAGUUCAAGUCCUAAAAAAUAAUAAGGUAAGACUGUCAAAGGUGGUUCAUGUUUUAUGUCUA